UACGUAGGAUCCGAGCGUUGUCCGGAUUUACUGGGUAUAAAGGGUGCGCAGGCGGGCUUGUGCGUCAGAGGUUAAAUAUUUCGGCGUAACCGGAAAAAUGCCUUUGAUACGGCAAGUCUUGAGUGCGAGAGAGGAUGGUGGAAUUCCUGGUGUAGCGGUGAAAUGCGCAGAUAUCAGGAGGAACACCAGUGGCGAGGGCGGCCAUCUGGCUCGCAACUGACGCUCAGGCACGAAAGCGUGGGGAGCAAACAGG
rnacentral:rRNA from 1 species